GACAGAGGGUGCAAACGUUGUUCGGAAUUACUGGGCGUAAAGGGCGCGUAGGCGGUCUUGUAAGUCCCGUGUGAAAUCCCUCGGCUCAACUGAGGAACUGCACGGGAAACUGCUUGGCUUGAGUUCGGGAGAGGGAAGCGGAAUUCCGGGUGUAGCGGUGAAAUGCGUAGAUAUCCGGAGGAACACCGGUGGCGAAGGCGGCUUCCUGGACCGACACUGACGCUGAGGCGCGAAAGCUAGGGGAGCAACGGG
rnacentral:rRNA from 1 species